rnacentral:misc_RNA from 1 species
CUGAAUUGUCGACACGAGUUGUUGCUGGUCCUCAAAUGGGGGCAUGUGCACGCUCUGUUUACACAUCCACUCACACCUGUGCACCCUCUGUAGUUCUGUGGCCUGGGGGGCUCUGCCACCCUCGCUGUGGUCUACAUCUUUACACACACACUGUAAUAAAGUCUCAUGGAAUGUACGUCGCGUUUAACGCAAUACAAUA